rnacentral:rRNA from 1 species
AGAGUUUGAUCCUGGCUCAGGACGAACGCUGGCGGCGUGCCUAACACAUGCAAGUCGAACGAAGAAUGUUUUUCGGAAUAUUCUUAGUGGCGGACGGGUGAGUAACGCGUGAACAAUCUGCCCCGUACAAAGGGAUAGCCUCGGGAAACCGGGAUUAAAACCAUAUAACACUUAACUGCCGCAUGGUAGUGAAGUCAAAUCGAUUAAGAGGUAUGGGAUGAGUUCGCGUCUGAUUAGCUAGUUGGUGAGGUAAGGGCUCACCAAGGCGACGAUCAGUAGCCGGCCUGAGAGGGUGAACGGCCACACUGGAACUGAGACACGGUCCAGACUCCUACGGGAGGCAGCAGUGGGGAAUAUUGCACAAUGGAGGGAACUCUGAUGCAGCGACGCCGCGUGAGUGAAGAAGGUCUUCGGAUCGUAAAACUCUGUCCUUGGUGAAGAAAAGGACGGUAGCCAAGGAGGAAGCCCCGGCUAACUACGUGCCAGCAGCCGCGGUAAUACGUAGGGGGCGAGCGUUGUCCGGAUUUACUGGGCGUAAAGGGUGAGUAGGCGGUUAUAUAUGUCAGGUGUAAAAAGCUAUGGCUUAACCAUAGUAAGCACUUGAAACUGUAUGACUUGAGUGCAGGAGAGGUAAGCGGAAUUCCUAGUGUAGCGGUGAAAUGCGUAGAUAUUAGGAGGAACACCGGUGGCGAAGGCGGCUUACUGGACUGUAACUGACGCUGAGUCACGAAAGCGUGGGUAGCAAACAGGAUUAGAUACCCUGGUAGUCCACGCUGUAAACGAUGAGUGCUAGGUGUUGGGUAGCGAUAUUCAGUGCCGGAGUAAACACAAUAAGCACUCCGCCUGGGGAGUACGGUCGCAAGACUGAAACUCAAAGGAAUUGACGG